UGUGACUGACUGUGUGUGUUUGCAUAUGUGUCCUGCCUCUCUGCUCCAGCUGUUAAGAGGUCAGAGUUGAUCAGUGGCUGUCCAGGCCUUUCAGAGCCACUGAUACACCAGCAGCACAAUGAUGAUGUCACUGACUCUACUGCUGACCAUCCUGGGGCUCCUGGUUCAGGGUUCUUCAGGAGACAUCAUCUUGACUCAGACUCCUGGAGCUCAGUCUGCUGUUCAGGGACAGACCGUCUCCAUCAGGUGUAAAUCUGACCGACUGAUUGGUGAUGACAUCAACUGGUAUCUUCAGAAACCUGGAGAAGCUCCCAAACUUUUGAUUGUGGAUACCACAGAACGUCAGUCUGGAGUUCCUGAGCGUUUUCGUGCAAAAGCAGAACAGACUGACUUCACUUUAACCAUCAGUGGAGUUCAGGCUGAGGAUGCAGGAGUUUACUAUUGUCAGCAACAGAACAGCUUCCCACUCACACAGUGAUACAAGGCCGUACAAAAACCUCAGAGAGAAAGAGGAACUGA